rnacentral:rRNA from 1 species
CCUACGGGGGGCUGCAGUCGAGAAUCUUGGGCAAUGCGCGAAAGCGUGACCCAGCAAUGCCGCGUGUAUGAUGAAGGCCCUCGGGUCGUAAAGUACUGUCUCCCGUGACGAAAAAUGACGGUAGCGGGGAAGGAAGCCACGGCUAACUACGUGCCAGCAGCCGCGGUAAUACGUAGGUGGCGAGCGUUGUUCGGAUUUAUUGGGCGUAAAGGGUCUGUAGGAGGUUUGUUAAAUACGGGGUGAAAUCCCGAAGCUCAACUUCGGAAUUGCCUUGUAGACUGACGGACUGGAGUACCGGAGAGGUAAGCGGAAUACCAGGUGUAGCGGUGGAAUGCGUAGAUAUCUGGUAGAACACCAAGAGCGAAGGCAGCUUGCUGGACGGAAACUGACUCUGAAAGACGAAAGCAUGGGGAGCAAACAGGCUUAGAUACCCGGGUAGUC